rnacentral:rRNA from 1 species
GUCGCACAGGGUUCCGAAGAGCUUUUUCAAAUAGCUUUUUUUUUGUAACCAAGACGCGUCCAACCUGAAAAACAGACUGGUUACUUCGGUAAACCGGAGCUAAUACCGGAUAAUUCUUUCCCUCUAUGGGGAAAAGCUGAAAGACGGCAUCUCGCUGUCACUUACAGAUGGGCCCGCGCCGCAUGAGCUAGUUGGUGAGGUAACGGCUCAGCAAGGCAACGAUGCGUAGCGGACCUGAGAGCCUGAUCGGCCACACUGGGACUGAGACAGGAAAUUUUCUUAUAGGGGCGGCAUCAGUAGGAAUCUUCCGCAAUGGACGAAAGUCUGGACGGAGCACCCCCGCGUGAGUAAUGGAGGUUUUCGAAUCGAAAAGCUUCUGGUGGUAAGGGAAAGAACAAGAACAAGAGUAACUGCUUGUACCUUUGACGGUACCCUAAACCGGAAAAGCCACGGCUAACUACGUGCCCAGCCGGCCGCGGUAAUACGUAGGUGGCAGGCGUUGUCCGGAAUUAUUGGGCGUAAAGCGCGCGCGGGGGGUCCUUUUAAGUUUGAUGUGAAACCCCACGGCCUCAACCGUGGAGGGUCAUUGGAAAACUGGGGGACUUGAGUGCAGAAGGAGAAGGAGUGAAUUCCCACGUGUAGCGUGAAAUUGCGUAGAGAUGUGGAGGAACCACAGGUGGCGAAGGGCGAUUCUUUGGUCUGUUACUGACGCUGAAGGGCGAAAGCGUGGGGAGAAACAGGAUAAGGUACCCUGGUUGUCCCCGCCCUAAACGAUGAAGUCCUAGUGUUAGAGGGUUUUCGGCCUUUUAUGCUGCAGCCAACGCCUUAAACCCUUCCCCUGGGGAAUUCGGCCCCAAGGCUGAAACUCAAAAGAAAAUGACGGGGGGCCGCCCAAGCGGUUGAGCAUGUGGUUUUAUUUGAAGCAACGCGAAGAAACUUUUCAGGUCUUGGCAUUCUCUGGCACCCCUAGAGAUAGGGCGUUUUCCUUCGGGGGACAGAGUGACAGGUGGUGCAUGGUUGUCGUCAGCUCGUGUCGUGAGAUGUUGGGUUAAGUUCCGCCACGAGCGCAACCCUUGAUUUUAGUUGCCCGCCUUAAAUUGGGCCCUCUAAGGGGGCUGCCGGUGGCCAACCGGAGGAAGGUGGGGAUGACGUCAAAUCCUCCUGCCCCUUAUGGCCUGGGCCACACCCCUGCUUCAAUGGAUGGUUCAAAGGGCAGCAAAACCCCGAGGUCGAGCAAAUUCCCUUAAACCCUUCUCAGUUCGGAUUGUAGGCUGCCACUCGCCUUCCUGAAGCUGGAAUCGCUUGUUAACCCCGGUCCACAUGCCGCGGUGAAUUCGGUUCCGGGCCUUGUUCACACCGCCCGUGGCGACGCAAAAAAAGUUUUAUCGAGGUAUCCGUAG